rnacentral:rRNA from 1 species
UCUAGAGUNUCGGAGAGGAAAGUGGAAUUCNUAGUGUAGCGGUGAAAUGCGUAGAUAUUAGGAAGAACACCAGUGGCGAAGGCGACUUUCUGGACGAAAACUGACGCUGAGGCGCGAAAGCCAGGGGAGCGAACGGGAUUAGAUACCCCGGUAGUCCUGGCCGUAAACGAUGGGUACUAGGUGUAGGAGGUAUCGACCCCUUCUGUGCCGGAGUUAACGCAAUAAGUACCCCGCCUGGGGAGUACGACCGCAAGGUUGAAACUCAAAGGAAUUGACGGGGGCCCGCACAAGCGGUGGAGUAUGUGGUUUAAUUCGACGCAACGCGAAGAACCUUACCAGGUCUUGACAUUGAUGGACAGAACCAGAGAUGGUUCCUCUUCUUCGGAAGCCAGAAAACAGGUGGUGCACGGUUGUCGUCAGCUCGUGUCGUGAGAUGUUGGGUUAANNNNNGCAACGAGCGCAACCCCUAUCUUAUGUUGCCAGCACUUUGGGUGGGGACUCAUGAGAGACUGCCGCAGACAAUGCGGAGGAAGGCGGGGAUGACGUCAAAUCAUCAUGCCCCUUAUGACCUGGGCUACACACGUACUACAAUGGGAGUUAAUAGACGGAAGCGAGAUCGCGAGAUGGAGCAAACCCGAGAAACACUCUCUCAGUUCGGAUCGUAGGCUGCAACACGCCUACGUGAAGUCGGAAUCGCUAGUAAUCGCAGGUCAGCAUACUGCGGUGAAUACGUUCCCGGGCCU